rnacentral:rRNA from 1 species
CAGACCUCUAAUCGGAAAAGACUACCCGCUGAGUUAAAC